AACGUAGGAGGCAAGCGUUAUCCGGAUUUACUGGGCGUAAAGGGCGUGCAGGUGGCUUGCUAAGUGGUGCGUGAAAGCGCUCGGCUAAACCGGGGGAGGUCGUCUGAUACUGCGCAACUAGAGUAUGGUAGAGGCGUGUAGAAUUCCGGGUGUAGUGGUGAAAUGCGUAGAGAUCCGGAGGAAUACCAGUGGCGAAGGCGGCACGCUGGGCCAUUACUGACGCUAAGACGCGAAAGCAUGGGUAGCGAACGGG
rnacentral:rRNA from 1 species